GAGACGGCCCAGACUGCACUAGCAGUGAGGUUCCCAUACUGAGAGCUCAGCUGAAAUGACUGAGAGCUGGUGGAACCUCAAGAGACCAACUCGCAGAGGUCACAGGGGCAGGUGGCAGCAGAAGGUGACUGCGCAGGGCCAUUGGCAACAGAGCGGUGGAGUGAACAGUGGCACAAUGAACAGCUGUGGCCAGAGUGAACAGUGAGCAGCUGGAGGAAUGAGCAAGGUGCCUUCUUGUCCCCCACCUGGAAGGUGUACUCAUGUGAAAGCACCUCUGAACUCUGAGUGUACUCUCCACUGACCAAGGACAACACAGGACCUUGUUGAUCAGGGGGAAAGGCAUAGAAGAGUUGGCCUGACCACUGAAGGAGGAAGGCAUCCAAGAUCACCCCCUUCUCCACUCCUCCCCUGGAGCAGAACUGGGGGCAGUGCUGGUUCUAGUAGGUUGCAAAGAGGUCGACCUGGGGAAAUCCCCACUCUUGGAAGAGCUGGUGGGUGACCUCCGAGUGGAGCGACCACUUGUACUGAUGAGAGAAAACCCUGCUGAGGCGAUUGGCUCGCACAUUGUGGACACCGGGUAUGAAGACGGGAGUUAGUCUGAUCUGUGAACAAGCCCUGGCCAUCGAAAGGGAGGUCCUGGAUAGUAUGCUGGACCUCAGGUGGAAGACUGGAGGACUGAAGCCAGGCACUCUGCCGCAUGGCGAUUCCCGAAGCCAGGGUACGCGCAGCCGCGUUCGCCACAUCGAGAGAACCCUGGAGGGAGGUCUUAGCAACGAGUUUACCCUCCUCAGCAAUGGACCCCAGUUCCGCAUGAGCCUCCGCUGGUAGAAGAUAUUGGAACUUUAGGACUGCAGACCAAGAAUUAAAACUGCACCUGCUGAGGAUCACCAGCUGGUUAGCGAUCCACAGCGAGAGGCCCCCAGUGGAAUAAACCUUUCCCCAAAAAAGGUUCAUCAGCUUUGCUUCUUUUGACUUGUGAGCGGGCCCCUGCUGGCCCUGCCUUUCCCUGGCAUUCACUGCA